rnacentral:rRNA from 1 species
AGUGAACGCUGGCGGCGUGCUUAACACAUGCAAGUCGAACGAGAACGGAUUAUAGCUUGCUAUAAUUGUCAGCUAAGUGGCGCACGGGUGAGUAAUGUAUAGGUAAUAUGCCUCUUACUAAGGGAUAACAAAUGGAAACGUUUGCUAAUACCUUAUACUCCUUAUUAACAGAAGUUAAUAAGGGAAAGAUUUAUUGGUAAGAGAUUAGCCUGUAUUGUAUCAGUUAGUUGGUGGGGUAAUGGCUUACCAAGACUAUGACACAUAACUGGUUUGAGAGGGUGAUCAGUCACACUGGAACUGAGACACGGUCGAGACUCCUACGGGAGGCAGCAGUGGGGAAUAUUGCACAAUGGACGAAAGUCGGAUGCAGCAACGCCGCGUGGGGAUGACACAUUUCGGUGCGUAAACUCCUUUUAUAUGAGAAGAUAAUGACGGUAUUAUAUGAAUAAGCACCGGCUAACUCCGUGCCAGCCGCCGCCGUAA